GACCUGGUGGCAAUGGCGGGGAAUGAUCCACCCGAUCCCAUCCCGAACUCGGCCGUGAAAUGCCCCAGCGCCCAUGAUACUGUGCCUUAAGGCACGGGAAAGUCGGUCGCCGCCAGGUCU
rnacentral:rRNA from 2 species